AAGACCAUCCGGCCCGUGCGCGGGGGAGGCCCGUCAGCUGCGCGCGCCUUGCGGGCCGGCUGCAACGGGCCUGAGGCCUGAGGACCGCGGCGGGCAGCGCGGCCUCCCGGCCAGACGCUCCGUCUGGCUGACUGAGAAGAGACCCGAGGGAAAGGUGGCCCCGCACUGAGGCGGCCAGCGGGCCCCUAGUGCGCCGAUAGGUCGCACCUUCGCGGACCAGGGAGGGGUCUCGGCGGGAAAUAGGGACGUGCGCGACGCGGGCGCGGGAGAAGGGGGAAAGCGGCGCGUUUCUGAUUGGUCCCAAUCUAGGUUCGGGCGCGUCUCCUAUUGCGACGUGUCUCCGCGCUGGCGGGAACCGGAAUUCCGAAGGUGCGGUCUUCGGAGCCGCAGUUGGCCUCACCCGAACUACCCGACCGCGGCAGGCUCCCGGGCUGCGUGGUGUAAAAAGGCAAUCAAAGUCUCAGGGCCACCCCCCAGCUCCUGUGCAAAAGAGAAGGUAAAGGCCUCGGGCACCUGUAAGGAACUGGCCUCACAGAGCGUUUAGUAAGGAAAUUCCUUGCUGGCCUCUCAUAAGCACCUAAAACUGAAGCCUGAUAAUGCAGAUUUCCUGGGCCUCAUGAGAAUGUAACCACUUUGCCACAGCAGAGCCCCCACCCUCGCCUUUUCCUCCUCUCUGUAUGCCUUCAAAAUGCUAAAGGUUCCAACUUUCCCUCCAGAAAAAACAGCCAUAGCUUGUCUGUGGUUCGUGUUUUUCCUGGGCACAUCUUCAACUUUGGCUUAAUAAACCUCCAUUGAUUGA